rfam:Hordeum vulgare subsp. vulgare, WGS project CAJW01000000 data, contig: morex_contig_1559558
UCUGCAGGAUAGGUGUGUAUUGGUUAAAUGCUUUUGCUCUGCAUUCAUUACUGAAAGUAUUUCCUGCAAUAUUAAUUUGAGGAAAGUGGGCAGUUGGGUUGAGCUUGAUAGUCUCUUUCGCCAACAAUCAUUUUCCUGUCAUUU